rnacentral:piRNA from 1 species
CGGUGUUGAAACUUGGAAUUUUCAAGAUAU